GAUGAAGAACGCAGCGAAAUGCGAUAAGUAAUGUGAAUUGCAGAAUUCAGUGAAUCAUCGAAUCUUUGAACGCACAUUGCGCCCGCCAGUAUUCUGGCGGGCAUGCCUGUCCGAGCGUCAUUUCAACCCUCGAACCCCUCCGGGGGGUCGGCGUUGGGGAUCGGCACUUACCUGCCGGCCCCGAAAUACAGUGUCGGUCUCGCCGCAGCCUCUCCUGCGCAGUAGUUUGCACACUCGCACCGGGAGCGCGGCGCGUCCACGGCCGUAAAACAACCCAAACUUCUGAAAUGUUGACCUCGGAUCAGGUAGGAAUACCCGCUGAACUUAAGCAUAUCAAUAAGCGGAGGA
rnacentral:misc_RNA from 1 species